rnacentral:miRNA from 1 species
ACUGGCUCUGCUCUGUGGCU